ACACACACACACACACACUCUGCAUCCACUACACACACACACACACUGCAUCCACUAUAUACACAUACCCUCUGCAUCCGCUAUAUGCACACACACUACAUCCACUAUACACACACACUACAUCCACUAUAUGCACACACACAUACACUCUGCAUCUACUAUACACACACACACUACAUCCACUAUAAACACACACACACACACUGCAGCCUCUGAUCAUUGUUUACGAGUGGAUGUAGGAGUGUGGUGGAAAGUAAAAAAAAUCAAAAGGCAGCAUGGGGCUUAUUAAAGUUCAGUGCCUCAGGUAAGAGAUCCAGGGCUUUAAUGCCAAAGACUUGGGACUUUAUACCUUACAUUGAGCUGCAGCCCACAACCCCUGAAUGCUAGUGGCCUGGGGGAGGCCUUCUUGCCAGCCAUCCCAUGCCUCCAGGCUUGCAUUGGCAAAUAACUUUAAGUCCUGUCUAGUAGCAUAGAGAGAGAGAGAGAGAGAGAGAGAGAAAGGGAAUUGGGGAACCACACAAAGAACAUGCAUUUCACAGUAGUAGUGCUGUUGUAAAGACUAAAAUGCAUGCAAACUACAGAUUAAGGAACAGCACGCACACAAUAAAAUAAAAUUUUACCUCUUACAAAGUCACUUUAAUUCACGUAUCUCAGCAAACAAAUAUGGGGAUUUAGUCAUACCAUAUGGCCAUAUUGUGUUAAGCUACUACUACAUCACUGUACCCCAAUACGUGUGGGUCCUACACAAAUUUUACCAUUGGAGAUAUACAUGCUAAAUGCAAGCCUUUCUGCUUUAACUAUUUCCAAAGAUACUUCUCAAAUGUAUGCUUUCCUGUGGUCUCCUACAAAAGGGCACAUAAAAUGGAGAGGUGAGGUGCUUUAAAAAGGAAUCUGGUCUAAAUCCCAAAUAUACACAGGAAAAAAAGGGAAUUGAAACCCAAAACAUGUAUAUUCUACUGUAAAGACCAAAAUAUACACAAAACGGGUUAAGGAAC